GAAAGUAGACUCGUCUACGUGAAUGUUCAGUUGCUGUAACUACCCUCAGGAAACAAGAUCAUUGGUUAUUGUGCUCUGCCUUCACUGAGAUAAAGACAUGGGGAGCAUUUGGUUUGUAAUUUGGUGCAUUUUAACAGUUUUUCAGCCUCCAAAUUUAGUGACUGCUGAGGAGCCAGUAUGUGUACCUGGGUUUCAGUCAGAUCAGCUCACUUUCAGUGUGACGAGAAACUACCUGACAAGAGGCACAGUACUGGGCAAAGUGGGCUUCACUGACUGCACAGAUCGCACAAGAUUUCUGUUCGACACCUCUGACAAACGUUUUGUAGUAAAGACAGAUGGUGUACUGAUGGUGA